AAGCUCUGUGAGAGAAUCUUAAUAUCUACUUCCUCGUGAUCUUUCUUCUAUUUCCUCUCUGUUAAUCUCACUGCAUUAUCUUCUACACUUUUCUCAGUUUGAACCAGAGAUCGGAGAUAAAAUUCCUCAAAGAAAAAAGUCACGGUUCUUUUCUCUUUCGCUCUCUCGAGAUCUCAAACAAUUUUGAUCGGUUUCUUCUGCCGUGAUCCGCCAAAACACGUCGUCGUCGGCGAGGUUGGAAGGACUAACGUCUCCAGGAACGAUGCCUUCGCCGCGAUCUGCAACAAGUACGACCGAUACGACAUCUACAAGUAGAAAGACUCUAACGUCUCCGGUGCCGAUGCAUUCGCUCGCCUCUACUCCGCCAUCGAGUCCGACAUUGAAGCUGCUCUUCAGAAAGCGGAGCUUGCUUCAAAAGAAAAAAGUAUGGCAUCUGCAGGUGCUCUGACUGCCAAGAUUCGCCGGACCAAGGCUCCAUUGCUUGAAGAGGUUCCCAAGUUGCAGAGAUUCGCUGUAAAGAAGUGCAGUCAUCUGCAUAUAUGCUAGAACUUGUUUAGCGCUGGAAGGUGAUUUUGGAUGGGUAUUGAUUGGACAAAAGAUGAUUGCUUUUGAAGAGAAUUCUUGGCAGGUAAAUGAAUAUACAUAUGCCUAUUGAUUUCUCCGCUUGUAUGCAUCACAUAUCUACAUCCUGCUAAUUAGCUCAAGAAUGGUGUGGCCUUCAAUUUCUAAUGGUCUUCAUAGGAAAUGAAAUUUGUGAAAUAACCUACCAUGUUUUGUGUUCUAGUUAUUAAGGUUGCUGAUUAAGAAUGUGAAUAACUCAUCCUAUAUGGGUAAAAUUGUUUGAACUUUGGGUAGUCUGCAUAUUGGUGGAUAUUAAGAAUGUAAGAGACAAACUGUGGCUUCCAGUUUAUCUAUUUUCCUGUUCAUCUAUUUUCCUAUUCAUGUAUUAUCAAUUAGCCAUUGUUCAUGUAUUAUCAACGAGUUCGAUUCGAGGUGCGGACCUACUUGGCAUUGCAUCGUCGUUCGCAAUUUCGGUAACUCCUUCAAUUUUCAGUUUCAUAUUCUGGCCUGCUUUUUUUUUUUUUUUUUUUUCUAUCAAGGUGUUUUGGUCAAGAUUUAGUAUGUGAUAGAAUUGAGUGAUGGUGAACAAAUCUAAUGGAUAGUGUUGUGCUUUUAAGUAGCAAUUUUGAUGAGAAUGGAUAGAGCUGUUUAAGAAGGAAUAGAUCUAAGCUUUGUUUGGAAAUUUACAGUUUUUUAAGUUGACAAGUAGAAUGGUCUAAUGGAUAAUUCUACUUGGUUCUUCAAGCUUGACGAGUCUGAAAGUUGAAGAUAAUUAAAUCGUCAGGUCUUUUGACAGGUUCGGGUGCGGAUUCGAGUGAGUUUGGAUGAAUUUGAUUUACAUUUUCAAUUUCUGUUCUUGUUUCUAUUUGGAUGGCCUGGAAUUAAAGCAAGGAAAUUUUGGCGGUGGUUGUAGUCUGCUGGUUUAGUAGUGAAGAAGUUAGCUUUAGUUAUUGGUUUUGACUUGCAUUUUUGACAAGCGAGAGUUGAGUUUCAAGUAUCUUUAAAAUUUUGGUUAUUGUAGUUGUAGCUGAUUGUUUAUGCUGGCUUUGAUGGAGAAUGAGAAUAACUCUUGCUCGUGCACUCUUUAAAGAGCCUGACUUGUUACUGCUUGAUGAAGCUACAGUAUGUUGGUCAUAUCCUUUGGGAUUUUCAUUAGAAUUCUUUAAUGUUUGGCAUGUGUAUUUCAUUUAUAGAGGCAAAAUGAACUAUUAAGAUUACUGAGAAUUUAUGAAGGAUCUGGUUUUAGCAUAAUAAAAUAACAUCACAACAUUAAGUACCUGGGCAUGUUUCAUGUUUUUUUUUUUUUUGAAAACUUGCAUGUUUCAAUGUUUCAUGUAUUGACGAUGUGCACAUGCACACACGGAUGUAUGGCUACUGCUUUGCAAUUGAGAUUUGUUGAAUUGUACCUAAUAUGUGAUACUUACAAUUUAAAUGUUGUGGUGUUUUUAUUCAAAAACUGAUCUUGUUGAUGCUUACAAUUUACAUGGUUGGUCAAGGAUCGGCUCAGGUGCCAAGGGAAAAUGGAUAUUUCCUUAAAGGUCAAGGAUUGGCUCACUUGUGAGAUAGUAUAUGUCAGAAAUUGCUGGAGCUGAAACCAAGAAUGCCUCAUCGAAUUUUUUGUAUAAAUUGUAAAAUGCACAAGUUGUUCUUUAUCAUUCAGGAGUACAACAAGAUGUUGAAGCCAAGCCAUGUGUUCCAAUAGUUUAUUAAUAGAUAAAAUGUCGUUUUUCUUGUU